AAUGUGGAAUUCGCCCUUCUUCGGUCAUAGAUUAAGCCAUGCAAGUGUUAGUUCAGGAAACGAAACUGCGAACAGCUCAGUACUACGCUCAGAAUCUAUUUGGCAGUAACCACUAGGUUUUAAAUGGAUAACAGCAGUAAUUCUGGUGCUAAUACAUGCAAUUGUUUCAUCGGAAAUGAUAUACGAUGGAAAAGUUGACCGAAAGGCAUGCCAUUCGAUUGAGCGCCCUAUCAGCUUGUACUUAGGGUCUUGACCUAGGUAGGCUAUAACGGGUAACGGGCGGUGACCGUCGUACUGCCGGAGAAGACGCCUGAGGGACAGCGACUAUAUCUACGGGUAGCAGCAGGCGCGAAACUUACCCACUCGAGACAUUCGGAGGUGGUAAUGACCAGUUUCAAGUCGGCUCCAUACGGGGUUGCUUGAAUAGGACUACACUUUUCCAGUGUAGUGAAACCUAGCAGAGGGCCAGUCUGGUGCCAGCAGCCGCGGUAAUUCCAGCUCUGUGAAUGUGCUCCCAUAUUGUUGCAGUUAAAACGCCCGUAGUCAGUAANUCCAUAGUAUCAGUGGGGCCAACCCACGUUCACUGUGAACAAAUCAGAAUGCUUAGUGUAUGGUUUACAUGAAUGACAAAGCGCAGUAUGAUAUCUUUACGCAAUGUAAGGGCAAAGAGAGCCAUCGGGGGUAGAUCUAAUUCAUGGCGAGCGGUGGAAUGCAAUAACCCAUGAGAGAGAAACGAAGGCGAAAGCAUCUACCUAGGGGGUUUCUGUCGAUCAAGGGCGAGAGUAGGAGUAGCGAACCGGAUUAGAGACCCGGGUAGUUCCCACCGUAAAUGAUGCCGACUCGGGCUUAUCCGACAAAUUCGGGUAGGACCGGAAGAGAAAUCGUAAGUUCAUGGGCUCUGGGGGAACUACGACCGCAAGGUUGAAACUUGAAGGAAUUGACGGAAGGGCACACCAGGGGUGGAGCUUGUGGCUUAAUUUGAAUCAACACGCGGAAACUUACCAGGACAAAAUGUUCUAUAUGACUGACAGGCUUGAGGUCUUUCAGGAUUUGACUUUGGGUGGUGCAUGGCCGUUGGUGGUGCGUGGGUUGACCUGUCUAGCGUUGAUUCAGAUAACGAGCGAGAUUAUCGCCAAUUAGUAGUUUGUAUUGAAACGAAUACAAUUUUCUAAUUGGGACAGCCUGCGUCUAAGCAGGAGGAAGAGGGUAGCAAUAACAGGUCCGUGAUGUCCUUUAGAUGCCCUGGGCUGCACGCGCGCUACAAUGUGAGGAUCAAAGAGAUACGAGCCACGAAAGGGCAAGUCACUCUGCUAAUCCCUCACGUACCUGGGAUUGACAAUUGUAAUCACUGUCAUGAACCAGGAAUCCCUUGUAAGCAUGUGUCAACAACGCAUGUUGAAUACGUCCCUGCCCUUUGUACACACCGCCCGUCGCUCCUACCGAUUGAUGUUUUGGCGAAAUCACCGGAGUAUAUCGAAAGUGGGUGAGCCAACUUAUCUAGAGGAAGGAGAAGUCGUAACAAGGAAGGGCGAAUUCCACAGUG
rnacentral:rRNA from 1 species